rnacentral:lncRNA from 1 species
AAAGCUUUGCAAUCCUAUAAAAAUGCCUGUUUGUUGUGUUUUCUGAGACACGGGAAGAUUGAUACUUGGCAAGAUGAUGGACUUCAAAAAUAACUUUGGAUUCUCUGACCUGCUUCACUAAUGCACGCUGCAGUAAAACCAGGGUGGGUGAGAAGUGUGUCAGAUGAAUGUCUUGGAGACGUUUGAAGUCCAGCUGUUAGAUGUGCUUCCAAAAUUCACUGGAGGAGCCCUCCCCACGUCCAAACAGGGAUCCAAAGAGAGGAGCGACAGAGUUUGAAUGUUGCUUUCCCCUUUCUGGAUGAUUAUCUGUCCUCUAUUGUAAAGAGAUGAAGACAAGCAGCAUUCUGAGCAACAUUCAGAGGCGUUUCUGACUAAGCUUGGUUAGGUAAGUAAAUAAUAGACGUGGCCUUCUUUUGCCCUGAGUUUUACCAGAGUUU